GACGAACGCUGGCGGCGUGCUUAACACAUGCCAGUCGAACGGAAAGGCCCUGCUUUUGUGGGGUGCUCGAGUGGCGAACGGGUGAGUAACACGUGAGUAACCUGCCCUUGACUUUGGGAUAACUUCAGGAAACUGGGGCUAAUACCGGAUAGGAGCUCCUGCUGCAUGGUGGGGGUUGGAAAGUUUCGGCGGUUGGGGAUGGACUCGCGGCUUAUCAGCUUGUUGGUGGGGUAGUGGCUUACCAAGGCUUUGACGGGUAGCCGGCCUGAGAGGGUGACCGGCCACAUUGGGACUGAGAUACGGCACAGACUCCUACGGGAGGCAGCGGUGGGGAAUAUUGCACAAUGGGCGGAAGCCUGAUGCAGCAAAGCCGCGUGCGGGAUGACGGCCUUCGGGUUGUAAACCGCUUUCGCCUGUGACGAAGCGUGAGUGACGGUAAUGGGUAAAGAAGCACCGGCUAACUACGUG
rnacentral:rRNA from 1 species